rnacentral:tRNA from 1 species
AGUUAAAUAAAUAUGUCUUGAAAACAUAAAUAAGAAAUAAUUCUAUUAACUU